rnacentral:rRNA from 1 species
CAGCCGCCGCGGGAAUACGAAGGGGGCUAGCGUUGCUCGGAAUGACUGGGCGUAAAGGGUGCGUAGGCGGUUUGACAAGUCUUAUGUGAAAUCUCUGGGCUCAACCCAGAGUCUGCAUGGGAAACUGUCGGGCUUGAGUAUGGGAGAGGUGAGUGGAAUUUCCGGUGUAGCGGUGAAAUGCGUAGAUAUCGGAAGGAACACCUGUGGCGAAAGCGGCUCACUGGACCAUAACUGACGCUGAGGCACGAAAGCUAGGGGAGCAAACAGGAUUAGAUACCCCAGUAGUCCCUGUCUCUUAUAC